rnacentral:pre_miRNA from 1 species
AAUGAAAGUGCUGGGAUAUAUGGUAACUCUGUUUAACUUUUUGGGAAACUGACAAACUUUUCCAAAGUGACUGCACCAUUUUACAUUCCCACUAGCAAU